rnacentral:lncRNA from 1 species
CUUGUCUACAUUGAACAGGUUUUCUUCAUAAUAAAAAAUAUACUACAUGUUAAAUAUUUAUUAAAGGAAAGUAGUGAGCCUGGAGGAAGGCAGGUGGGAGGGCAAAUAUAGACAGCAGGUGACAUGACUAAGCUUGCAUAUGCAGAAACCCCAUUUCCGGCUCUGCAGCAGCAAGGCCACAAGAUUGCCCAGCUCCAGCAACACUGCCAGGACCUGGCAGGUGGCAGGCAGAAUAAAAGCCAGAAUCUCACCAGUGGGAAGAGCCCCCAAGAUGCAGCCCAGACUGCCUGCUCUCCUGUGCACAAUUGCAGCCUUCAUCUGCCUUGGUCCAAGCAAGAUUGAGAGCGUCGACAUAUCUACAGAUGUGGUGUAUGAGGAAGAGGGACAAUCUGUGACCUUGGAAUGCAAGUUCACAGUCAGCUUUGCUUACUACAUGAUGUACUGGUAUCGACAGUCUUCCAGUAGAGAAAUGACUCGCAUAAUUGAUAUUUACUCUCAAAAUAGGCAAAACAGUGAAGGGCGAUAUUCUGUGGAGUUUUACAAAGAGAGCCAAACUCUAAAGCUCACCAUCUCGAGCUUGACACUGAGUGACUCGGACGUCUAUUUCUGCGCUGUCAGAGAGGUGCACGGUGAUGGCAGUGGCAGGGAGUGCCUUACAAAAACCCCCAGGGCUCAACACCAGACAGCCACCUGCUCCAGGAGCCAAGGAGAGAACAGCCCACAGAACAGGAAGAGGGUAGACACAGGCAUGGUAGGUGGCUCUUCGGGGUCUAGAGAGAAGGUAAUGAAUGUUCUAAAAACAAUUUUCCCACAUUUGAUAUUAAAGAAAGAGUUGUGGUUACAAGAGCAUUUUCAUCUCUGAAUCUGGUACCUAAGCACGGCUGAUCCAAGGUGUACCUCUGUCAUUUCUGCCUGCCCAACAUCCACCCCCCUUUUUGGUGACAGCACCAUGAUUUUCCCUGGAUAAACAAGCCUCCCACCCCACAACUGGGUUUGGAUGAGGCUAACCCCAACCUUGGACUCCCGACCCAUGAGUACAGUUCAUCUCUGACCACAGCCAUUGGUUUAAGGAUAGGAACAUGACCCAAGCCCACAUCCCCAAAUUUAAUAUGGAGCUAUUGAGAAUGCUGUUGGAGAUGGAAGAGGCUAGGACAUUAUUAAAAAGCCAUGAGAAGCCGAAAAUGGAGUCUUUUCCCCCCUACAAAAUCAAAUCAAGACCCAAUUACAAUUUCUACCUCUCCCAGAAAAUGUGACUUUAAAACAGUCAGUCAGGAAGUUCCCAUUGUGGCUCAGCGGUAAUGAACCCAACUAGUAGCCAUGUGGACACCAGUUCAAUCCCUGGCCUUGCUCAGUGGAUUAAGAACCCAGUGUCUGUAGGUGUAGGACAGCAGCCAUAGCUCCACCUGGGGUAAGACCUUAGGUGGGGGGGGCGCCCAAAAAAAAAAAAAAAAAAAAAAAAAAGAAAGAAAAAAAAAAGAAAUAACAUAAAAUAAAAUGGUCAAUCAGAAACGUCCUGGUUAACACCAAUGCGGUCAUCUGCAUGAUAAAAAGCCCUAUACUUCCCUUUGCCCAGAAGAAAAUGACCUGGCCUGAAAUCACCCUUUUUUUUCCUUUUGCUAAUAUCUUCUUGCCCCUUCCUUCUUCUGCCAGUCAAGACCUUCUAUUCUCCACAUAGCUCUUCAGAGCGCCCUUCAAGUUAAUAGAUGGGAUGCUGCCCAAUUCACGAAUCAUUGAAUAAAGCCAAUUGGAUCUUCCAAUUUAUUCAGCUGAAUUUUGUUUUUUAACAAUAUAAACU